rnacentral:rRNA from 1 species
AUGGAAACCAAGGACGGAUCGAUCCUCUCGGUGUUGUCCAAGCGUCUCCACGCACUGCGGAAGCAGCAAAAUCGCAUCGCGCAGAUGGAAGAGUCUGUUGCCGCCGGCAAGACGCUUAGCCAAGAGCAGCAAAAGGAGGCGAUGCGCUCCAAGCCUGUCCUCGCCGCAGUCAUCGACGAGCUCGAGCGCCUCCGUGCGCCGCUCGCUGCCGCCCUAGCCGAGGAACUCUCCACCAUCUCCGCCCCUGCUGCCGUUCUUGUUGCGAUGGAGUUUUGUGUUGUGAAAGAUCGGGCCAUCAACGGAUCGACCCUCGCCUCGAGGUUCGUUCCACAUCAACUCUCCAGUGCCGUGUUAAUGCAUUUGCUUGUUUGA